AUUGACCUCGAAUUAGGUAGGAAUACCCGCUGAACUUAAGCAUAUC
rnacentral:rRNA from 1 species